GCUGGGCGUGGUGGCGGGUGCCUGUAAUCCCAGCUACUAGGGAGGCUGAGGCAGGAGAAUUGCUUGAACCCAGGAGGCAGGGGUUGCAGUGAGCUGAGAUCACACUCCAGCCUGGGUGACAGAGCGAGACUCUGUCUCAA
rnacentral:SRP_RNA from 1 species